rnacentral:tRNA from 1 species
GCCGAUGUGGCGGAAUUGGCAGACGCNNUGUUCCUUCGGGAGUGUCGGUUCGACCCCGACCAUCGGUAUCA